rnacentral:lncRNA from 1 species
AUGCAAGGCACUAAGCAAAACCGUAUCUUGCGGAAAUUGCUGCACACAGGAAAAACCGCAGACAAUUUAGAAAGCUUUGGCACACAGCUCAGUUCAGUGUCUGAAAGGGAAUGGGAUAGGCUUAGUGGGGCUGAAGAGGAAGCAGAAGAGCUAUGGCAAGCUCAUGGUCUAAAAAGAGACAGGGAAUUAACAUGUUUUAGAGAUCUACCAAACUCCAUCACUACCAACCUUCAACAUGACUACUACCAGCCUUCCACAUCACCGCUGAAGACACUGAGCUAUGUUGGGUCAGAGCAGCCUCAGCUGUCCAUCCUUCACAGCAUCCUUCCAACUGGGCAGUGACUGUGCCACCAAACUGACCCUUGAAAGCCACAUUUCUCUAGCAAGUGAGAGAUUGCACCAGAAAAGGUGCAGAUCCUCAGCACCCCUGAAGGGUGGCAGUCCCAGGUAUGGAUGUUGGCUGUACCUUGGAGAGCAUCACGGUGGGAACUUGUAUGGAUCACCUGGGUCUAUGAAAGAGUGAGGCAGAGGAUGGGCAGCACUGUAGCUCAGUCACUCUACCUUGUGUUGUGUUCCCAUUCAUGGGGAGCCUCCUAAAUCUUGAGGGACCUGAUGUUUUCUCCAUGGGAGCAGGCACAGAAAGCAAGUUCUCCAAAGGCAACCUCCAACUGUGGUUGUUUUACCUUUCUGAGAGAUUGAAGGCAGCGUUUUUGUGCAGAAGCUGGGUGUGUCAUUCCAGGCAAGCCUAGGCAGGUGGGCCACGUUGCAUGUUCACCUGCCUUUUUGGCCCUUCCCUGCAGGCUGAGCACACACAGAUGUGGGCAGCCUGUCACAGCGUCAGCCAGGCCACAGCUGCCUCCAGAUUUAGGAGCAGGCUUCUGCAGACUGAGCAAGCUGGCCUCUUCAGCAAGGCAGGCGUUUUGCUAAUUUUCUGCGUGCAUGUACACAUCUCCACAUGAGUACUCAGCUUGAUUGGCUGCUUCCAAACCACCAGCACCCUGGACAAGUCACAAGGGAGAGGCUGCUCAUCUCACUGCCAGCUGCCUCAUCAGUCCCGACUGUGUGUGACCCCCAAAUAAGAAUUCAUCAUGCAGCAGAGCUGACAUGAUCUGAGAGGAGAUACAGAUGCCCAUAGUCAGCUUUCAUAGGAAGUGUUCUUCCUAACCCUAUCCCAGUUUUAGAAGAAAUACAGGACUACAGAAGAAAAGACUUCAGACCCCAGCUCUUUAUCUCUUUGACUGGAAUCUGAAAUAAAACCCUCAAAGAGACUCUUAGAUGAUCUAGA